rnacentral:rRNA from 1 species
UACGUAGGGUGCAAGCGUUAAUCGGAAUUACUGGGCGUAAAGCGUGCGCAGGCGGUUUUGUAAGUCUGUCGUGAAAUCCCUGGGCUCAACCUAGGAAUUGCGAUGGAGACUGCAAGGCUAGAAUCUGGCAGAGGGGGGUAGAAUUCCACGUGUAGCAGUGAAAUGCGUAGAGAUUGGGUGGAACACCAGGGGCGAAGGCGGCAUCCUGGCACGGACCUGACGCUGAGGCGGCGAGAGCGUGGGGAGCAAACGGG